UACUCAUGUAUCUCAUAUAAUGUUUUAUGAUCAAAUAAGUCCAUAGUAUGUCAUAUUAGAAGCUUCAUUUUCAUACAUUGUAUAUUUAGCAAUUUGAACUAAGGCGGCGUUCUUUAAUUAUGGGAUUCGAGAAAUUGUGCCUCUAACUUAUGGAGUACGAUCAUCUCUUUUAAUCGAAAUAAUCAAACAUCCCUCUUUUUUUAAAAAAAAAGAAUAAUUUUUAAAAAUAUAUAAGAUUUGAGUAAUAAUUAAAAAGUGAACGUUCUUAUUUUCGAGAAUUUGAGAUUUUGUGCCCCAACUUGCGGGACAUGAUUUUUCGCCUUGAUCGACCUGAAAUGAGAAAACCACCUCAUUAAAAAUUCAAUUUAGAUAGAGACUUUUUCAAUACCAUCAAAUAACAUUGCGCGAAAGGGAUCGCAUUUUAAAUUCUCUUCAGAUUUUCAAAUUUUGACGUCAAGACAUUAAGUAAUCAACUAGGUACCAAUUUUGGGCAUUAUAAGGGUGUUAAUCCUUCCUCAUACGUAACCGAAUCCCGAACCCUUUCCUGGAUUUUGUAGACUGAAAAUCAUUAUUUUAGUAAAUCUAACAAUUUUAUUAAAAUGACCAAGUUUUGAGGUGGUCCAAUCACACCUAAUUAAAAAGGAUUGGUGGCGACUCCAUGUUUUUUUAUAAUAAAAAGUCGAAUUCAAUAAAAGGUUUCAACAGCUUGGCGACUUCACUAGGGAGAAAUAAAAAAGUCGAGCUGCGAGUUGAUUACUUUUUGGUUUUUUGGUUGAAAAUUGAUAAUUCGGUUUAAAUUGAUGAUCCCUUCCUUGCAUUUCAUCCUUCAUGUUUUAUUUUGGUGGUAAAUAAUGUCUUUGUUAUCUCGGGUUACAUCUUGAUCUAAUACAUCUUUUUUAUUGGUUCGAGAGUUUCUCUUUGUAUGUUUUCACAGAUUGUAUGGCAUAGUUGUUCCAUUUUACCCUUCUUAAGUGGGAAUGAGAAGCUAUUCCUUUGUGAGGUCUUUACCUCCGUAUAGGAUAAUAGAUCACUUACGGGAUACAUCCAUACCUAUUUCUUCGUGAGGUCUUCAUCUCCGUACAAACAUAGGGAAAUGUAUUCUCCUGAAUUGAACUAGGUUCGUAUGAGCCUAGAAUGGGUAAGGAUCGAGGAAUCUGUCAGUUCAGAUACCUUUACUUUAGAACCAAACCGCAUGUAAUAAACCCUAAGAGUCAACCAUAAGAAGAACCAUGUAAAAUCUUUAGCGUUUACCCGAAUAGAUUACAAAGAAAGAAUGUUUUGAUUGUUAUUAUUUGCUUCAUAUUCAAGUUUUAUACGAAAGUACUGACUUGUUUCGUUUUGUUUUAGCUGUGGUUGCAUUGCAUUUUCAUCUUAGAGGAAAGGUGUUGAUUCGUGUUCAAUUGCUAAAUAUAGAGUUUGUCAUGAAAAAAGGGUUUCUUGAUAAAGUUGAAGUAUUCAUUUUAAGUAAAGAAACUUGUUUUCUAGUAAAGUUGUUCUAAUGGAAUCGAACUAGAAUCAAUGCCUUUUUGUAGGCAUCUUUUCCAUUCAUUAGCAUUAAAUUUCAUUCCAUGCAUUAAAUUUCAUGAAAAUCCCUUAAUCAAUCAAAAAAUAUGACAGUUACCUUGGAAACUACAAAGAAUCUGCCAACUGAAUAUCGCUACGAUACCUGCAGUAAAACUAAAGCCAUGGAUCAAAGGUUAGAUAGACUAGAACAAAUGCAGAAGGACGUGCAAGCCUAGUUGCAAGCGCAGUUGCAGGAUCAAUUAGCUAAGGUGCAAUAAGACAUGAAGGACCAAAUACAGGAGUCCCUAAGAAACAUAAUAAGCCAGUUGACCUAGUUACUAGCCGGUGGAAUUGAAAAAGGGAAGAGUAUUGCAAUAAACUCUGGGGACGAUAACAAAGACCCUACAUACCCCCCGGGCUUUACCCCAGUGAACACCCAAGCUCAACCAGAGACAUAUCUACGGAGAGUACUUGUCACGAUAAGACCACAACAAUACCAUGCUGGCACCUCAGGACCGGUGAAUUACCCAAUGGGUUCAGGUUCCAACCCCGGAGAUAAUCCAACCAACCCCAUUAUUCCAAAUUUAGACAACAGAGCGAAAAUGGAAAGGCCAAGAGUAGAACUUCCAAAAAAACUGGAAGAUCAUUACAAGUGGUUGGAAGAAAAAUUCAGAGCUAUGGAGAGUACCGACUACCUUUGUGGGGUCGAUGUAAGGAGUUGAGUUUGGUCCCAGAUCUAGUGCUCCCACCAAAAUUUAAAACUCCAGAACUUGAAAAAUACAAUCUAGACAAAUUUAAAUCGUAUUUUGAAAUCGUGCAUUUGAGAUUUAUUUAUUUAGUUUACUUAGUUUAAAAUCUUAGUUUUUAACCAUCCUCUUCAAACAUAGUAUUUUUCUUCACCAAAGUGUUUUAAAUAGCAUUCAUAAAUAAUUCUUUUCACAGUCCUUGUGGGUACGAUAACUCGACAUUUACUUGUCACUUUAUUACUUGUUGCGAUUGUGUACACUUGCAUAUAUCCUUCAUUCCAUAAGGCGCAACACAACUUCUCGAUUGGCGAAUAUCUUGUCUCGUAUUCCGUGAACUUCUUACUGAGGUAAUAGAUUGUUCUUUCUUUCCUCCCAACUCAUUAUGUUGGCCUAGUACACAUCCCAUAGAAUUUCCAAAAUACUGCCAAGUAUAGUAUCAGUGGUUUUUCUCGGCUAGGUGGUAUUAGCACUGGGGCAUUGGACAAAUAAUGUUUAAUUUUGUCGAAGGUCUUCUGGCAUUCCUCAUCCCAUACACCUGGAUUAUGUUUCUUAAGGAGAUGGAAUAUGAUGUCAUAUUUCUCGGUUAGUUGUGAAAUGAACUGGGCAAUGUAAUUUAAUCUCCUAAAGAAACCCCGAACUUCCUUUUGGGUACUCGGCGGUAGUAACUCCUAUAAAACCUUGACUUUAUCUAUGUUAAUCUCAAUUCCUUUCUCGCUGACCACAAAUCUUAAUAAUUUGCUCAACGUGGCCCUGAAAGUGCAUUUUGCUUGAUUUAGCUUUAGCUGGAAUAUUUUUAACCUCAAAAAUAGUUUCCUCAAGAAUUUCACAUGAUCUUUCUCAGUUUGGGAUUUUGCGAUGAUAUCAUCAACAAAAACCUCAAUUUAUUUGUGCAUCAUAUUAUGUAACAAAGUCACUAUGGCUCUUUGAUAUGUUGCUCCUACAUUUUUCAGCCCAAAUGGCAUCACUUUAUAACAAAAUGUUCCCUACACUGUUACGAAUGUGGUCUUCUCCAUAUCUUCAGGAUGCACCUUUAUCUGGUUGUAUUCGGAGAAACCAUCCAUGAAAGAGAAUAGCGAAUGACCUGUCGUGUUGUCUAGUAAAGUAUCGAUGUAGAGUAACAUAAAAUUAUCCUUUGGGUUGGCCUUGUUUAAAUUCCUGUAAUCUACAUGCAUCGUACCUUCCCAUCUUUCUUAGGGACGUGGACUAUGUGGCUAACCAGUCUGAAUAUUUGACCACUUGUAGGAAACCAACGUCAAAUAAUUUUUUGACCUCUUCUUUUAUUUUCAACAGUACGUUUAGCCUCAUCCUUCGAAGCUUCUACUGAUCUGGCUUGCAUUCUUCUUUUAUGGGAAGCCUGUGUACCACGAUAUCAGUACUUAGACCAUGCAUAUCUUGAUACGACCAUGCGAAGACAUCUUUGAAUUCUUAGAGUAACUUAAAAUAUCUCGCCUUGUUUUUGCAGUAAUGCAAAUUCUGAUUUUCACCUCUUUCUUUUCUUGUUUAUCCUUAAACUCACAAUUUCCAUCAACUUUUUGUGAGGUAGGAUCUGUUUCUCAUAUUGCUCUAUCAUCCUUGACAAAUCAAGAGACAAGUUACAAUCUCGAUCAUCUUCAAAGUCUUAAGGUUCCUCUAGACACAUAUACUGCUCAAAAGGAGACCUCAAGUCAGCAAUAACAUCACUCGUAUCAUUGAUAUCUUCCUGUCAUAGGAAUAAAAGAAUACCUAAAGAAUAAAUUUAAGGAUGAUUAUCUGCGUGGUAUGAGUAUGAAUGAAGGAAAUAGUAAAGUGUUUUCCAAAUGGGACAUAAAAAUACAUUGUUUUCAUUGAAAUAAAGAUAAUGGACAUGCGUUUUUCACAAAAGGAUCCUUAUUGCUCUUAGGCUUAGAGCAAUGGGUAUGUUCUAAACAUUACUCUGAAAUAGUCCUAAAAACUACAGGGAUCUCUUUCGGAGUCCAAUUGUUCAGAAUACUUCCGGGGAUAUAAGGACAAAUUCUUGAUAGGUUUUCUUCUUCAGCUCCCUCUUCAGAGGAAAAUACAUCUUUUCCCUCAAAACCCUUGAUAUUUUCAAAGAAUUCCAACUCUUUGUUGUCCAUCAGACUUUACACUAGAGCUUUGAAUUUGGCGCACUCUUGGAUUUCAUGACCUUCCGCAGCAUGAAACUUGUAGUAGCUCUUCACUCCUUUUGGUCCCUCCUCCGAAUCUUAAAUGAUCAAGUCCACGUUUAUCAUUUUUUUCCAAUCCCAUUUUAGAGGGGAUUUCACUUCCUCAACAUCAAUUUUGGUCCUCUUACUCCAUUCUAGCCAUAUUAGGCCCUAAGGGAUCAUCAAACCUUACCAUUCCCUUCUUGAUAAACCUCUCGAUUAACUUCUUGAAGGCAGUGCAUUCUCGAUCAAGUGUCCCGUUAUCCCUGAGUGGUAUUUGUGCUGAGCAUUCACAUCAUACCACUUUGGGAAUAGAGGUUGCAUGGGCUUUAGGUAAAACGGUGAAACUACAUGAGCAUUAAAUAGAUUCUAGUAUAAUUCUCCAUAUGUCAUCGGGAUAUGAGUGAAUUGGAGUUUUUCUGUGUUCAGCCUUAAAUUGGAUUCUUGCAUCGAAGGGCCCUGAUGGUUGGCCGUCAUAGUCUGAGGUUGUGUCAUUAUGACCGGUUUUGAAUAGCUCUUAUUGUAUACGUUUGUAGUGUUUACUUUAUUUUCUUUCUUUCUUGGGGCAGACCUUUUAGCAUUUUCUCUUCCAUAUAUCUUCCCUCUCCUUAUCGCGUUCUCAAUAAUUUCUUCAGACAUAACUAUAUCUGAGAAGCUUUUAGUAGAACUUCUUAGUAUGUGAUUGAUGAAUAGAGCUUUCAGGGUAUUGGAAAAAAGACAAACUACCCCCAAAAUUGAAGGAUCCUAUAUUUUUUACCAUACAUUGCAAUAUUGGAGCAACAUAUUGUGGUAAGGCACUAUGUGACUUAGGUGAAAGUAUCAACUUGAUGCUAAUGUCAAUAUUUAGGAAGUUGGGGAUAGGUGAAGUUAGACUUACUACGAUUACACUUCAAUUAGCAGAUCGAUUCUUAGCACAUCCAGAAGGAAAAAUCGAUGACGUAUUGGUACGUGUAGAUAAAUUUAUCUUUCCUGUUGACUUUGUGAUUCUAGACUUUGAAGCAGACAAAGAGGUGUCAAUCAUCCUAAGAAGACCAUUCUUAGCAACCGGAAGGACCCUUAUUGAUGUGCAGAAAGGCGAGCUUACUAUGCCUGUUCAGGAUGACCAGACUUUGAAGCAGACAAAGAGGUGUCAAUCAUCCUAAGAAGACCAUUCUUAGCAACCGGAAGGACCCUUAUUGAUGUGCAGAAGGGCGAGCUUACUAUGUCUGUUCAGGAUGACCAGGUAACAUUUAACGUUUUUAAGUCCAUGUGAUUUCCUGACAUAAUUGAUGAUUGUUCUGCAGUAUCUGAUUUAGAGGAUUUAAUCAUGGAGAAGGAACUCAAUUACGUUGAGGACCCAUUGGAACAAAUUUUGACAUUAGAUCCUUCAAAUGAUGAAGAGGAGGAAAAAUACUUAGCUUUGUUAAAAGCUAAUCGAAGGGGAUUUAAUCCGCAAUCCCGCUUUGAAUCUUUAGAGUUAGAGAAAAGGGAUUAUGCCCAACAAAAAGCGUCAAUUGA